AAACUACAAAGGGACAAAUCAUUCUGUCUGCGGAGUUGUUUAGCACCUCUUCUCUGGUGAAUACUCUCUGGCCCCUGAUCAGCCAGGCAAGCCAUUGUCCCUGCCCAUGAUUUCAUGGAUCUCCUAAUCUAAAGCCACUUCUUGUUUCAAACAAAAUGGAUGACCAGUGGGAUGCAGAUGGAUAAAAACACAGAAGUGUUGUUGAUGUGAAGACAAAGUGAUGUACAGACAGAGAAAUCAUUUCAUCUAACUCCUUUAAUUAAUAUGUAAUUUAAAAUGGAC